AAAACAAACUACGAAAUGCGAAACACACGGUCGACCCUCAAAAGAAAGGAAGAUUCGACAACUAGAAAAAGAAAGGAAAAGAUGAAAGCAUGGAAAAAUCAAAAGAGUAAAUCGGCAGCAGUGCAACAGAACAAGAAAUGGUAGAGGAGAUAGAUUCAAAAGAACAGAAGGGGAAGAAAGGUGUAUUCGACAAUAAAAAAGAAAGGAAACCAAAAAGAAAGAAGAAAAAGAAAAGGUGAGGGAGGAGAGUGUAUUCGGCCAAAAAGAAAAUAGGUAAAAAGGGAAGAGCAGUCAAAAGAAAACAAACCCGAGAGGUACCCUAAUUCUUAGCAAAAAUUUGGCACCAACAAGCACAGAAAGGGAAAACCACACAAAACCGGCAUGAAAAGUAAAACAAAAAUGAGCAGUAUGCCCCCUAGCCGAAUUUUCCUGAAUAAAAAGUUCAUUUUCGACACACCUCCCGUCUCCCCUCACUUCCCUUGAUUUUCUCCUAAAAUAUCUCCCUUUAUCCCUCCUUGAAUCACUCCACCAAUUUCUCCUCAACUCCCCCAACAACUUCAUUCAAAAUCUAUUCAAACUCCCCUUAGUUGUGUUUCAGU
rnacentral:lncRNA from 1 species